rnacentral:rRNA from 1 species
GAGUGAAGAAGGCCCUUGGGUUGUAAAACUCUUUCGUCGGGGAAGAAAAUGACUGUACCCGAAUAAGAAGGUCCGGCUAACUUCGUGCCAGCAGCCGCGGUAAUACGAAGGGACCUAGCGUAGUUCGGAAUUACUGGGCUUAAAGAGUUCGUAGGUGGUUAAAAAAGUUGAUGGUGAAAUCCCAAGGCUCAACCUUGGAACUGCCAUCAAAACUUUUUAGCUAGAGUGUGAUAGAGGAAAGUGGAAUUUCUAGUGUAGAGGUGAAAUUCGUAGAUAUUAGAAAGAACAUCAAAAGCGAAGGCAACUUUCUGGAUCAUUACUGACACUGAGGAACGAAAGCAUGGGUAGCGAAGAGGAUUAGAUACCCUCGUAGUCCAUGCCGUAAACGAUGUGUGCUAGACGUUGGAAACUUAGUUUUCAGUGUCGCAGCGAAAGCAUUAAGCACACCGCCUGGGGAGUACGACCGCAAGGUUA